CUAUUCCGAAUCAGAGAUAAGGUUAAACGACAGGCUUUGCCUAACCAGGUGGGCUUACUUUCCAAAUGUACAAAGUAUGAUUGAGUUAUUAAGCUCUAAAUGUUUCAAUGAAAUGCAAAUUGUUUAUUUAAUGUAAUGAAAUGUCACAGCCCGCCCUAACUAUGGAUAGUUAGGCCGAGUGAUCCACGACUAGGGAUGGGGUUAAAGAAGAAGAGGAAGAAAAGGGACGUCAUUUAUAGCCGUAAAACUUACUCAUCUUAAUAAAACUCGUCAUUUUUAUUCAUUAAUACUCAAUUGAAAACAGUCUAUGAAAGACAGCAUAAAACUUAAUUAAUAUCAUUAAUCAAGUUAUACAUCGUAUGAAACCAUUCUCUUAAGACUCAAAGUAUGACAUAACAUACUAUAACAUCAACAACAUCUUGCAGCGGAAAGUAGCUAGACAUAUGUAUGAAGACAUAUUCUAGACAGGUUAACUAUUUAUUAACAACCCUGGAGACUCCGCUCAUUGCAGCACCAUCAUCACAUCAGCUCAACCUGCACAUUUAGAAAACAUAUGCAGGGCUGAGUACAAAAGCACUCAGUGGGCACGUAUGCCUAGGUAUAAAAAUACAUGCUUCAAAACUAUAAAUUGUCAUGCCAUCAUAAUCAGUACAGCAAGGGAGUUUUUCGCUAAAAAGGCCCAAGCUUACUAAGUUCAUUUGUGAUUCUUAAAGUUCGUCUGAUCAGACUAAGUUCUUUUGUAAUCUAUCAUAUCUGGAACUGUGUGCCGGAGAGGUGGCCACCUCUCACGGUCACUUGACCGGCCAACCCGCUAGAUGACUCACGGUCACUGGUGUACACUAGCCCUGGCAGGAUAGCUAUCAACUGCUCAGGACCCGAAUUCGAUUGCAUCAUUGGCAAAGCCAAAGCAGAUAGAUAUCAUACUAAAUUUAAACAUUUUAUGGUACGACAAUAGUUGUAAUAUUUUUCAGUCAAAGAUUUGUCAUGAAAUAACUUGUUCAAAGGUAGCAUUAAACUCGUUUGAUAGAUAUAUAAAACUGAAAUUAACAGUUAAAUCAUCUCAUGCAUUCAUUCGUAUAAGAGGCCUACGACACGCAGGGGAUCUCUAUAUACGUAUAGUAAAAGUAAUGCCCACCUCGUUGUGUCUCUGUAUCAAUGAGUAACGUCACUCUCUCCCUCAAGUCGUUACUUCCCAAAAGGACCUUCAUCGUUAUGAAGAAUUGGUGAGAAGUUAUAAAAGAAACCUCGAUUAAUAAUCUAAUCUCUUUUAUGAAAUAUUAGUAUCUCUAAUGUUCAUCUCUCUUGAUUGUUAAUCAAUAUAACAAUUAUUAUCUCUCGUCAUUACUCAUUAAUUAUAACAUCCUUAUGUUAUAAUUAGCAGCGCUUCAAUUAAAAGAAAUAUUUAACACAUCGAAAAGUCCACUUUCUUAGCAGAUCUAUUCGCUCUCAUCUCGUCUAAUUAACCGAUUAGAAAGUUAAACUUUCCAUUAGGCAUGUAUUUGAGUCACAGGUCAACAAGAAUUGACUAUGCUCAAAUUCUAAUUUCACUAAAAAUUUCGACAUGACCUAUUCAUAUAUAAUGUCAGCCACGAGAUUUCAACGCGUGAAUCUCACUACGUGAACUCGUCUCUCGACUCAAAACUUAACAUCUUGACAUCUUUUCAACGCAAACCAAACAAUUCAAAAUCAUCAAAACUCUUUAUCAGUAAACUAUCAUUUAUACUCGACACCAAUUGUUCGAGUGUCAGAUACCAACAUUUAUGUGCGUUAAUCAUAACUCUCACAACUCACACCAUUUAGUCAUAUCGUAUCAUCCAUCAAAACAAAUAUAAUCAAGUUGUUUUCUAGAAAGUUUUGCUGUUUUUGUGUCAUCUUUAAAAAUUCAUAACAACCAACUCAAUCAUCAUAAACUCUCAUACCAAUUGAUCUCAAAAACUCCAUGAAGUGUAGUUCACUCUAAAAAUGGUAGUUAACCAAAAAGGUUAAAGGUUUUUGGAGAUAUUGCUCUUUUAGUGCAGGCUGUCAAAGAUUGACAGUUUCUGCCAAUUUUGUUUAGGCCAUUAGAAACCAAGGCAAACCUUAAUAAAAUUCCAUCAAAUUUAAUCAUCCAAAACUAAAGGUAUCCUUGAAGAUUUGGUUAAAAUUUCACAAGAGAAAACGUUCAUAUGAUCUGCCAAAUAAACAAUGAAACUCAUACACUUUUACUGUUGGACAAAUAUGACAGCAGAACAGGGCAUUUUUGAAAUAAUAAACUGCUCUGUUUCAGAGGUCAUAAAAAUCGAAAUCUUAUGUUUUUAGAAAAGUAUUGAAGUCUAGUUUACGUUUAAAAAAAACGGUGAUGCAAAAUCUUCAUGGAUUAAUAGAUAUAAACGUUUUUGUGAAGUCUACCAAUAGUUGACAGAUUCUGUCAAGGAUUUUUCAAAAUAUCUUUAAAAUAGCAAACAUCAUCCAAAAGACAUGAAAUUUUGCAGCAACGAAAUACACAUAUCAUAGAUAAACAUACUAAAAUUUCAGAGCCAUCAAGCAAUGAAAACUCAUCGAAACAUAAGCUUGAAACUGCUGUAAAAUUUUGACAGAAUUCCAGUUUUAAUUUCGUUCAACAAUUAUCAUCCAUAAAUUGUAAAUCAAUUAGCAUGCUCAUGUGAUAUCGUUAGAACACAUAUACGCAAUAAUAUUCAUUUAUGCAACGUCUCAACUUCACGAAUUUAAAUAAUCAUACUCUAAAAAUUUAUACAAUUUUCGUGCUUGGAAAAAAAUACGAAUUUAAUAUAUAUCGAUUCUAGCAUACCCCUAAGCACAAAUAUCAAGUCAAAAACGAUCAAACAAAAAAUCGAAAGACAAAGCUAAUAUGUGAAAAACGGGGCUGCCCUCAUGGGUUUCAUAGCUACGGUUCGUUCCGUUCUUACUCCCUUCAUUAAACAUGCUCAACAUCUACCCAAGAACAACAUACUAAAAUUUCACGACGAUCCGACGUCGUUUCAAAAUAAAGUCGAGAAUCGACGUUUUUCGACGUCGACGAAAAUCGAAAAUAAAACCAUCAAAACGUAGGUAAAGAUCUUACCUACUUAGAUACGUGAUCGAAAAGAUGAUCGGCGCUCGUCUCGGUGCUCAAAUCGGAGGUCAAAAGCUCCGUCCAAGCUUAAAUGGAAAAUGGCGUGUGUAGUGUGUGUUUUAGGUGUUGUGUGUGUGAAUAUGUGAGUUGUGUGUGUGGUGUGGGCUGAUAUAGCGUGAGUUAGUGUGUUUGACUGAACUUGGGCGGUUGGGGGGUGGUUUUGGUGGGGUAGGGUUAGAUAUUUAGUCGUUAAAUAUCUCGUCUCGUCUCGUCUCGUCUCGUCUCGUUUUAACGACUAACAACCCAUACUCUUCGUUACUCGCCCUCUCAACCUCUACUCACUUUCAUUACACUCGUAAUUCCAUAUAAAUAUAGAAAACGCAAGCUCGUUCUCGAAAUUCUGAUAAACGAGCUCGGUUCGUUUAUCGAGAAAUCCCGGUUUACUAAUCACUCGUCGUCCAAAAAUAAAAACUUUCAUUAUUGGACUCGUAUCGAAAAACUAAGAAUAUUUUUCGACGACGUGCACGUAAGAUUUUGAAAGUCGACAAAAAGACGAAAUAGCAGUAUUUUACUAUUCAUCGUCAAAAAGUCAAAAUUUUCAAAAACGUCUUAACGGACUCAGAUCUCACUUCCGAGUUCACCGUUCUCAUUCAAAUAAUUAUCUCGAAUUAUUCGAAUACUCAAACUCAAAUACGAAUAUAAAAUCUCACAUCAUUCUUACAUCAUCGAAAGAACAUCUCAACAUUUAAAAAAAAAAAAAAACUUCAUAUAACUCCUCAUCUCUUUACAAAGUAAUCAAACAAGGGAUCUAUACCCUAAUUACUCAAACUUAAGCAAAUAAACACGUCAUCAAAAGCACGGGUAUUACAUGAAAACUGUUUAUCCAAUAAAAUGUUUAUGUGCACUCUGCUCUGUUUAAGGCUCGCACAGUUAAUCAAUUGAGGUUCUCUUAUGACCUAAUACGUUGUUUGAGAAUUGUGUACACUUGUUAGUUGACUCGGUGGGUUGAUCUCCAUCGGGCUCUAACCAGAGGCGUUAUAAGGGUGCUCGGCUGGAUGUGUUCCGGAGCAUGAGAAAUAUCAGGCCUGCCUGGGUAGCGUCCCGAGGUCAAAGUAAACUUGUCUGGGUUACGCCCUCAGUUCAAGUAAGCAGGAGACAGAGAUCCGUCGGUGGCUAAAAGGUCCGGGAUCACAGCGAGUAACAGAAAGGGAGUGUGACAUGUGCGCACAAAUGAAAGAAAUGUUUAACAUGCUUAGAAGUUAUUUUAAAUUAAACCUUCUAAGUCAUGUCUAGUAUGUAUUGGAUAAACUGUUACUUUAAUUAAAAUAUGAGAUGUUUCAGAAAUGCAUGCCACUAAGUACAUUAGUACUUAGCCCAAAAAUACUUUCAAAUGUUUUCAGGUUGGCUGGCUGGUGCUGACGGGACGGAGCUGAGGCUAGCGAUAAAUUCCUAUGUUAGACUUCCGCUGUAGCAAUUACUCAUAUCAGUCUUUUGUUUUUCCCAACUUAAGAUGUUCAUGUUAAAUUUCAAAUGAUAUACCUGACCGAGCUUAGACUCUUCACUACUAAAUUUAUGCCAAUGAAUGUCGG
rnacentral:lncRNA from 1 species